GGAAAUAGGCAAAAACAAUCAUGCUUGAAUACCUUAGUGUUAGCUGACAUGGGAGUCCAGGCCCACCUAUUAGGUGUGAUUCCCGCCUCCCAGGAGCCCUAUGUAAGGAAGCUAGGAGAGACUGCCUGCAGAGCUACCAUAGAGCCUGGAUACCAGAGUGCCCUGCAAAGCAAGCCGAAUCCUUAGAAAAGGACUACCCAGGAACAGGAGUCAACACCGACUCGAUGGCACACUACCUUUAAUCUUUACAACAGCCCUGUAAAGUAAGAAUUAUUAUCCCAAUAUCACGAUUGAGGGAUUGAGUCUGAAAAGCUAUCACUUGCAUAAGGCCAUCUAGUGAGUUCAUGGCAGAGAGCCCUACACAUCAUGUUGUCUGUCAUACAGAUUGUAUGGAAAUAGCCCAUGGAUAGAUUCUGUUCAGAUGAAUGAGCUCUUCAAGAGUAGAGCCAGGUCCUGGUCUCCCUGCAUAGG